CGUAUAUUAAAGUUGUUUUAGUUAAAAAGCUCGUAGUUGGAUUUGUGGCGGAUUGUGGCGUCCUCUUUUGGUUCUGUCACGAUCUGCCAUCCUUGGGUGGAGCCUGUGUGGCAUUAGGUUGUCGUGCAGGGGAUGCUCAUCAUUUACUGUGAAAAAAUCAGCGCGUUCAAAGCAGGCUUAUGCCGUUGAAUGUAUUAGCAUGGAAUAAUAAGAUAGGACCUUGGUACUAUUUUGUUGGUUUGUGCACCGAGGUAAUGAUUAAUAGGGACAGUUGGGGG
rnacentral:rRNA from 1 species